GGAAAUCUCCGUAAUCUUGACUAUGGCAUGAUUAACAAGUAAAGUUAAAAGUUGAUGUCAAGCACUCUAAUUAAUAGAAACAGACUUUGAAUGGAUUGGAAAAAGCUGUGUUUAAUGCAAAUUCAUUGCCCUACCAUAACUUGAUCGGCUUACCCAAAAAGCUCCAUAUAUGAAAUGCAUAUAUGUCUUCCAAAAUUACUUUAGAAUAAUUGAAUGGAUUAAAAUUUGAAGUUGGAUAAUAUACAAAUAAGGCAAAAUUUUA